rnacentral:sRNA from 1 species
UUCCUCCAUCCCAGCACCAGCCGACUUUCUUGCCUUGUUCUGCACCCUUCUUCUUGUCUUUGUUCCUCUUCUUCCUACCACACAAGGGGCGAGAGCCGACACCCACACUGCCAGGAUCCAAGAUGCAGGGCUGGUGUUGGCAGACGCGCUCCGGAAAUUCUUAUUCGAUCUGGAUGUUGAUGAUGGCCUAGCAGCUGUUGGUUACUCCAAAGCUGAUAUCCCCGCACUAGUGAAAGGAACGCUGCCCCAGUAUCCAGUCCAGCCAGAAGAAGAGCCAAAAGCUCUCAGCACCUCUUGACCAAGAAUGUGGUGAUCGAGUCGGACCUGUACACGCACCAGCCCCUGGAGCUGCUGCCCCACCGCGGAGACCGCAGGGACCCUGGCGACCGCCGCAGGUUUGGGCGGCUCCAGACCGCGCGGCCGCCCACAGCCCACCCGGCCAAAGCCUCUGCCAGACCCGUGGGGAUUUCUGAACCCAAAACAUCAAAUCUGUGUGGGAAUCGAGCAUAUGGAAAAUCUCUGAUACCGCCAGUGCCCCGGAUCUCAGUGAAAACUUCGGCCUCUGCCUCAUUGGAGGCGACAGCCAUGGG